rnacentral:lncRNA from 1 species
UGUGCUUCUGCUUCCUGGUCUUGUAGAUGGAAAAUCUGAAAGAUCUCUAGAGAAAACUUCCUCACUGGGUCGGUCAAGAUCUGUGAAAUGGAUAACAGAAGUUCAGACUGAAGCACCAUAACAAAUUUCAAAUAAAAGUGCUGUCUAAAGAUAUCUGACUUUAAUCUGAACCCUCUGGCAACCUUGGCAUUCAUCUAGCCUCCUGGGUCAACUUGAAUCAAUUUAACCACAUACUGAACUCCUCCUAAUCCUGCAACACUCUUUCUCCACAGGGACACAAAUACUACACAUCCCUCUCCAUAUUUAGCUUUCCUCUUAAGCACAAAACAGUGUAUUUACUGACUUAACAUUCACCUUUGUCUGAUAUUAGCUUGAGGUUUUGACUAAAGUUUAAGCAUUUACUAUAAAAAUUCCCCAUCCUGCGCCUAGGGUGGGAAUUAUCUUAAGCCAAUGAGUACACAUGUACAUGAAAUUUAAAAUACUAUAAUAAGUUUCCUUGGGUUUUGGUUAAUAUUAUCCAGCCUCAGCAUUUUCAUACAUAGAGAUCUAUUUCAGUGCCUGUAAUCUGUGUUUGUUUUAAGCAAUGAAAGGAAGAUACUGCUCCUUCUAUUCCAUAUAACCCAAGAGUUUAUGGAAACAUUUGGCUCUCUAUAACUAUAGCUGAAACUGACCAUACCAAGAUUUAGGACAUUUGAAAGCAAUGUCACAUUAGAAGGCUAAUAGAUUUUAUUGUUUUUACCUUUCAUAUAAAAUCUUUUAAUAUAACAGUUAACUCCCUGCAACAGUGAUUUGAAAUCUUCAAUUAAUGAAAAGCCUUGUAUGUGGCUUGGAUUAUUAUUGUCUCUUUUGUUGAAUCUGAGAUGGGAUGCUUAAGAACAAGGUACUUGUUAUUCUUGUUCUUUAAAAUAUGACCUCAAAUUGUAGGUACUGAAAGCUUGUAGAGCUUGAAUGACCUUCAGCAAUGCUCCUGUUCUAAUUUAAAGGUGAGGAAAUUGAGAUCCACAAAAAUUAUGUCACCCGUUCAAGGUCAUAAAGUUAGGUAGUGACAAAGGCAAGACUCCACUUGGGUCUUCCACCUUCCAAACCCAUCUUCUUUCAAACACUGCACAGCCUCCCUCCCUCCUUCCUUUAAAAACAGAAAAUGUCCUUUUGGAACAUAAGUGUAAAAUAGUUCAUUCACCCUCCUCCUUUAUAAUCUGCUCAUAUGUUCAGUAUAUGGCCAAAACAAGGUAAUCCAGUGAGACUAACAAAAGUUAAGUUACUGUACAAGCAUUGACUCUCAAUUUAAGUUUUGGACAUAAUUUGCAUUAUAAAGAAUACUGUGCUUUCCUGUUUUUAAUUGUACUUAUUAUAAACAAAGAAUAUACUGGAUAAAGAAAAUGUGGUACACAUACACCAUGGAAUACUAUGCAGCCAUAAAAAGGAACGAGAUCAUGUCCUUUGCAAGGACAUGGAUGGAGCUGGAAGCCAUUAUCCUCGGCAAACUAACACAGGAACAGAAAACCAAACACACUGCCUGUUCUCACCUGUAAGUGGAAGCUGAAUAAUGAG